UACAGAGGGUGGAAGCGUUGUUCGGAAUUAUUGGGCGUAAAGCGCGUGUAGGCGGCUUUGCAAGUCGGGUGUGAAAGCCCUCAGCUCAACUGAGGGAGUGCGCCCGAAACUGCAGAGCUUGAGUGCCGGAGAGGGUGGCGGAAUUCCCCAAGUAGAGGUUAAAUUCGUAGAUAUGGGGAGGAACACCGGUGGCGAAGGCGGCCACCUGGACGGCAACUGACGCUGAGACGCGAAAGCGUGGGGAGCAAACUGG
rnacentral:rRNA from 1 species